rnacentral:rRNA from 1 species
GAGUUUGAUCUGGCUCAGAUUGAACGCUGGCGGCAUGCUUACNCAUGCAAGUNGAACGGUAACAGGUNUUCNGNCGCUGACGAGUGGCGAACGGGUGAGUAAUACAUCGGAACGUGCCCAGUNGUGGGGGAUAACUACUNGAAAAGAGUAGCUAAUACCGCAUACGNUCUGAGGAUGAAAGCGGGGGACUUCGGGCCUCGCGCGAUUGGAGCGGCCGAUGGCAGAUUAGGUAGUUGGUGGGAUAAAAGCUUACCAAGCCGCGAUCUGUAGCUGGUCUGAGAGGACGACCAGCCACACUGGGACUGAGACACGGCCCCAGACUCCUACGGGAGGCCAGCAGUGGGGAAUUUUGGACAAUGGGCGAAAGCCUGAUCCAGCAAUGCCGCGUGCAGGAUGAAGGCCUUCGGGUUGUAAACUGCUUUUGUACGGAACGAAAAAGCUUCUCCUAAUACGAGAGGCCCAUGACGGUACCGUAAGAAUAAGCACCGGCUAACUACGUGCCAGCCAGCCGCGGUAAUACGUAGGGUGCGAGCGUUAAUCGGAAUUACUGGGCGUAAAGCGUGCGCAGGCGGUUAUGUAAGACAGAUGUGAAAUCCCCGGGCUCAACCUGGGAACUGCAUUUGUGACUGCAUGGCUAGAGUACGGUAGAGGGGGAUGGAAUUCCGCGUGUAUCAGGANNUNNUAGAUAUGCGGAGGAACACCGAUGGCGAAGGCAAUCCNNCGGACCUGUACUGACGCUCAUGCACGAAAGCGUGGGGAGCAAACAGGAUUAGAUACCCUGGUAGUC